rnacentral:tRNA from 1 species
GGGGGUGUAACUCAGUGGUAGAAUACUUGCCUAGCAUACAUGGGGCCCUGGGUUCCAUCCCCGACACCACCA